UACGUAGGGUGCAAGCGUUAAUCGGAAUUACUGGGCGUAAAGCGUGCGCAGGCGGUUGUGCAAGACAGAUGUGAAAUCCCCGGGCUUAACCUGGGAAUUGCAUUUGUGACUGCACGGCUAGAGUGUGUCAGAGGGGGGGUAGAAUUCCACGUGUAGCAGUGAAAUGCGUAGAUAUGUGGAGGAAUACCGAUGGCGAAGGCAGCCCCCCUGGGAUAACACUGACGCUCAUGCACGAAAGCGUGGGGAGCAAACAG
rnacentral:rRNA from 1 species